AGUCUGUGUGCACGGCCUGAUCGCAACAUUUUGACCUCAAAUCAGGUAGGACUACCCGCUGAACUUAAGCAUAUCAAUAAGCGG
rnacentral:rRNA from 1 species